UGCGGAGCAGGGUAUGAGUCAUCAAACUCAUAACCUGAAGGUCGCAGGUUCAAAUCCUGCCCCCGCAACCA
rnacentral:tRNA from 3 species